rnacentral:lncRNA from 1 species
AUGUCCAGAUGCUUCUUCUUUCUUUGGAUUGAUGAAGACGAUGCAUACUCAUAUAUACCGUGCAUUCAGAGAGGCGGGAAGGAACAUCAUCCAGAGAUUCUUAUGACGCCCGCAACACGACUUUUUGGGCUGUAUCCGCAUCUGGACGCGCAGAAAAAGCGCCGCCGACACUCGUGUCCCCCCGUCUCGAGACGUGCACCUCUUAAUAAGCGUGGAGGGAGAGCCUCACCUCCCCAGGAAGGAGCAAGGAGCUUUUUCUCGGCAAGAAGUCCUAAUGAAGAACUCAAAAGAUCGUCACAUGCUUCAUGUGUUUAAUAUAUAUGCUACGUACAGAAAUUUAUUAUUGAUAAAAUCCUGCUUAGCGUACUAGUGUUCUAAUCUAAUGUAGUAUUUUUCAGCGUAUCGAAAAUACUCUUUCGAGGUGUAUCUACAUAAUUUAUUGUUCAUUAUUAUAUUGUAUUGUUCUGCUUUUGUUUUCCUUGAAAUACGUUUUUCAGAUUUAUUUUUGGCAGCAUACUGGAACGCUUUCUAGCGGGGCUAAAGAAUAGUGAGACAUAGUGGAAGUGUGAAAUAUCAUUAUAUGGUAAAAUAAUGGGAGCGGUAAUCCUACUUCCGGACACUCUUCUGCAGUAUUUAACAAGGUCCUCCAAAUAGGGGAUUAGCGGAUCCACAGAAAAGCUUUCCUGUUCUCUAUUCAUUCCCUUUCUUACCUUAUAAUUGUAAAACACAGUAUUGGUUCAUUUGGUACAUGAAAAGUAACCGGACGUGUGCAGAACCAUGCGUGGAAAAUAGUAAAGAAAAGCGUGUCGCGAUUAUUUCAAAAAAAAUAUGAAAAGUCGUGAGGGAAGGGGGAGGUUCAAUGAGUGUAACUUUUUUUUUUUUUGUGCGACGACUUGUGUUUGCCCAGGCGUUGCUUUCGUCUGCAUUAUUGAACAUUUGUAAGAAACUUUUAACACAUUUUCUGAUAAUAAUCAAUCUUUGACAUGUACAGAA